UCAGUGUAUAAAUAUUGAAUUGCUUUGUAGCAGAGAAAUCCCCAGGGGUGCUCCCCGCUGAGAGUUUCUUUUUAGAUUCGUGUUCAAUAAACAGCUGUGCCAAGCUGCCUCCGAUAUCGACCAAUGGUUUGCGCCAGGUAAAUUAUUGUCGAGAAGGGUGUAUUCAUUAAUAACACUUAAGUAUUGAACGUUUUCCUCAGGGAGACGUUUCAUGCUGUUUUGUCGAUGAACAAUUCCCAGUGGGACUUCCAGUCAGGUUUCAAAUAAUCUGUCUUGUAUUGUUUGUCUGUACUGCGUG
rnacentral:lncRNA from 1 species